UGGCUUACUGAUUGAUUAUUACUCUUUUGUUUGAUCAUGUAGAUGUACAGAGGAGGGAAAAUAUGCUUGACCGUGCAUUUCAAGCCUCUAUGGGCGAAGAAUUGCCCCAGAUUUGGCAUUGCACACGCACUCUGUUUGGGUCUUGCACCAUGGCUUGCAGCAGAGAUUCCUGUUCUUGUUGAUUCUGGCAUGAUUAAACACAAAGAUGAUGUGGCCACAUCCAGUGAAUCUUGACAAGGAGAU